rnacentral:rRNA from 1 species
GACGAACGCUGGCGGCGUGCCUAACACAUGCAAGUCGAGCGAGGAACUUCGGUUUCUAGCGGCGGACGGGUGAGUAACACGUGGGUAACCUGCCUCAUAGAGGGGGAUAGCCUCCCGAAAGGGAGAUUAAUACCGCAUAAGAAGUAGAUACUGCAUGGUAUCAGCUUUAAAGGAGUAAUCCGCUAUGAGAUGGACCCGCGGCGCAUUAGCUAGUUGGUGAGGUAACGGCUCACCAAGGCGACGAUGCGUAGCCGGCCUGAGAGGGCGAACGGCCACAUUGGAACUGAGAGACGGUCCAGACUCCUACGGGAGGCAGCAGUGGGGAAUAUUGCACAAUGGGGGAAACCCUGAUGCAGCAACGCCGCGUGAAGGAAGAAGGCCUUCGGGUUGUAAACUUCUGUUAAUGGGGACGAUAAUGACGGUACCCAUAGAGGAAGCCACGGCUAACUACGUGCCAGCCGCCGCCGUAAAAC